AAAUUGGCAUUUGGAUUGUGAAAAAAAAGGAUGCAACUGUGACUCUUUCCCGUUUCCCUCUCUCUGCAACCAAACAAUGGAGAGAAUAAAGUUUUAAUCCUUCUCGUAUUGUUCUGGACACUCUCCACGCAUGCGAGGAGUUUGGUCAGGGUCUUUCUCGAAACUGUCUAUUGUACUGCCACAUCGUGAGAAGAUGAUGGUAUGGUACAAAUGUAGAUAGCCAUGGUAUCUAGCACUGCAUUUACAGAAGCUUAGCAGCCCACCCGGCCUUCAUGUAGGCCUACCGGUACAUUGAUUUAGUUAAUGAAUUAUGAGUGACUUCCUCACGCACGCUGUUAUUGUAACUGAACCACUGAGGACCAGGAAUGCUUAUUAAAAGUGGACCCACAAUGAUUAUGAUGACAGUACAGUACUGCCACUUUUUAAAGGGCUGCACCAGCAAGUAGGCCUGAGGCAACUUCUCAACCUGUGAACAAUAGGAAGUCAGUCAAAGCUAAGGUAUGUGUGUGACCAAGUUUCCAUCACCGAAUUCUUUUUAGACCUUGAGAUUGUUCGGACUUAACUUGUCAUGUCCAAUCUGUCAUCAUGACUUUAUGGGAAAACCUGUGGCAUGUUUGUCAAGGUUCCGCAGCAAAACAUCCCCAUAGCAUAAUGCUGCCACCUCCGUGCUUCACAGUCGGUACGGUGUUCUUUGGAUAACCCCCCCCCCCCCCGUUUUGCCAAACGUACUGCUGGCUUCUUUCUUGCCCUGCAGCCUCGUAGUCCACUACGAUGCAAGACCUUCUGGACAGUGGACAGUGACACAUUUGUCUCUGUAGCUUCUAAUUCCUGGCAGAGGUGUUUCUUGGUCGUCUCGGGGUUAAUGUGCACCUUUCUAACCAAUGUGGGCUCAUCUUUGGCUGUCAGCUUGCGCUUUCUUCCUGACCUUGGUAAGGUUGCUGUUGUCCCUGGGUCCCUGUACUUCCGCUUUAUUGUCUGAACUGACGCCCGUGGCAUAUCAAGCUGCUUGAAAAUGGCUCUUAGUGAAGUACCAGACUGGUUCAAGUGGACAGGCGACUCUAUCAGAUCUUGAGAGUACUCCUUUGACCCCAUGAUGGCUCUAGUCUAAGCUGGCAAAUGACCUGAGCAGAAACCCAGUCCAUUUUAUACUGCUACAGUGGCGCCACCUGAGCUAUGACAUAAUCAUGAUGGUCAACAGGUAGUGGAGACAAGAUAAAAGCCAUUGCAUAACAUAUUUGCCCACCUCAAGGCCAAACAACUAUAAGGUAGGUGUAUGUAAACUUAUGACACUCUGAAAUAUGCAUUGUUUUCAAAUAGAGCUCAUAAAAACAAUGAAAUUAAUGAAACAGAAGUAUGUUUUUUAGUUGAUGACGAGAUGUGAUGAUAGACUUCCUGUAAACUAUAUACUCUUCCUGCGUUCUGUAGUUGCAGAGAAAAAGACAGGGUUAUAUCAUCCUUUGAAUUGUAUGUAAACUUUCGAGCACGACUGUACUCUCUAAUUUUUGCCUUGGCCUCCAGAAAUAAUAGUGUAUUUUCAAAUUCUUUCUUACCAAACCUGAGUGUGUGUUAUUAUUGCACCACCAAUAUCCAAUUUGAUAACCAGUACGCAUGUACCCAAUGGUUUGGUUGUCUAAUUUUCUAAUUGUAAUUUCUAAUUCUAGUGUAAAAGUCAAUAGUUCCCUUUUUUGUCAUGGUAAUGUUGUGGGCAUUUUCUAUUCUUGGCUCACAUGGGUGAGCUUAUAUCCUUACGAUUUCAUCUUGUCCAGCAUUGUUGGCUUUGACUUUGUCUGUCGUUAAGCGAUUUUAUCAUAUACCCUAAGUGCAGUGAUCUGGCAGACGUAUAUGAUAAAUAGAAAACUGCACGAGUGUCUGAUCCGAGUAUCCAGAUUGCACUCGAUGAAUUUCUACGCAGGUCGAGAGCUUUUCAAGCCGUAGAAAAUCAUCUCGUGCAAUCUGGAUACUCGGAUCAGACACUCGUGCGGUUUUCUUAUUGUACAUGUAAUGUAAGAAGCACUAUCAAUGGAAACACG